rnacentral:rRNA from 1 species
GACGAACGCUGGCGGCGUGCUUAACACAUGCAAGUCGAACGGUAAGGCUCCAGCUUGCUGGGGUACACGAGUGGCGAACGGGUGAGUAACACGUGGGUGACCUGCCCUGCACUUCGGGAUAAGCCUGGGAAACUGGGUCUAAUACCGGAUAGGACCGCACCGUGAGGGUGUGGUGGAAAGUUUUUUCGGUGUGGGAUGGGUCCGCGGCCUAUCAGCUUGUUGGUGGGGUAAUGGCCUACCAAGGCGGCGACGGGUAGCCGGCCUGAGAGGGUGGACGGCCACAUUGGGACUGAGACACGGCCCAGACUCCUACGGGAGGCAGCAGUGGGGAAUAUUGCACAAUGGGCGGAAGCCUGAUGCAGCGACGCCGCGUGGGGGAUGACGGCCUUCGGGUUGUAAACUCCUUUCACCACCGACGAAGGGUUUCUGACGGUAGAUGGAGAAGAAGCACCGGCUAACUACGUG